rnacentral:rRNA from 1 species
AUGAAUAGCGCUAGAGUAUAAUGCGGUCGAACGCUUUGUGGUUCAACUGAUUUGAAGAGCUUGCUCAGAUAUGACGAUGGACAUUGCAAAGAGUGGCGAACGGGUGAGUAACACGUGGGAAACCUACCUCUUAGCAGGGGAUAACAUUUGGAAACAGAUGCUAAUACCGUAUAACAAUGACAACCGCAUGGUUGUUAUUUAAAAGAUGGUUCUGCUAUCACUAAGAGAUGGUCCCGCGGUGCAUUAGCUAGUUGGUAAGGUAAUGGCUUACCAAGGCGAUGAUGCAUAGCCGAGUUGAGAGACUGAUCGGCCACAAUGGGACUGAGACACGGCCCAUACUCCUACGGGAGGCAGCAGUAGGGAAUCUUCCACAAUGGGCGAAAGCCUGAUGGAGCAACGCCGCGUGUGUGAUGAAGGGUUUCGGCUCGUAAAACACUGUUGUAAGAGAAGAAUGACAUUGAGAGUAACUGUUCAAUGUGUGACGGUAUCUUACCAGAAAGGAACGGCUAAAUACGUGCCAGCAGCCGCGGUAAUACGUAUGUUCCAAGCGUUAUCCGGAUUUAUUGGGCGUAAAGCGAGCGCAGACGGUUAUUUAAGUCUGAAGUGAAAGCCCUCAGCUCAACUGAGGAAUUGCUUUGGAAACUGGAUGACUUGAGUGCAGUAGAGGAAAGUGGAACUCCAUGUGUAGCGGUGAAAUGCGUAGAUAUAUGGAAGAACACCAGUGGCGAAGGCGGCUUUCUGGACUGUAACUGACGUUGAGGCUCGAAAGUGUGGGUAGCAAACAGGAUUAGAUACCCUGGUAGUCCACACCGUAAACGAUGAGUGCUAGGUGUUUGAGGGUUUCCGCCCUUAAGUGCCGCAGCUAACGCAUUAAGCACUCCGCCUGGGGAGUACGACCGCAAGGUUGAAACUCAAAGGAAUUGACGGGGACCCGCACAAGCGGUGGAGCAUGUGGUUUAAUUCGAAGCAACGCGAAGAACCUUACCAGGUCUUGACAUCCCUUGACAACUCCAGAGAUGGAGUGUUCCCUUCGGGGACAAGGUGACAGGUGGUGCAUGGUUGUCGUCAGCUCGUGUCGUGAGAUGUUGGGUUAAGUCCCGCAACGAGCGCAACCCUUAUUACUAGUUGCCAGCAUUCAGUUGGGCACUCUAGUGAGACUGCCGGUGACAAACCGGAGGAAGGUGGGGAUGACGUCAAAUCAUCAUGCCCCUUAUGACCUGGGCUACACACGUGCUACAAUGGCGUAUACAACGAGUUGCCAACCCGCGAGGGUGAGCUAAUCUCUUAAAGUACGUCUCAGUUCGGAUUGUAGGCUGCAACUCGCCUACAUGAAGUCGGAAUCGCUAGUAAUCGCGGAUCAGCACGCCGCGGUGAAUACGUUCCCGGGUCUUGUACACACCGCCCGUCACACCAUGAGAGUUUGUAACACCCAAAGCCGGUGGGGUAACCUUCGGGAGCCAGCAUCUAAGUGAGCUGAUG